GGACUACUAGGGUAUCUAAUCCUGUUCGCUCCCCACGCUUUCGCUCCUCAGCGUCAGUGCCGGCCCAGACCACCGCCUUCGCCACCGGUGUUCCUCCUGAUAUCUGCGCAUUUCACCGCUACACCAGGAAUUCCAUGGUCCCCUACCGGACUCUAGUCAUAGCAGUAUCAGGUGGCCUCUCCGAGUUGAGCCCGGAGAUUUCACACCUGACUUGCCAAACCGCCUACGAGCUCUUUACGCCCAAUGAAUCCGGACAACGCUCGCCCCCUACGUAUUACCGCGGCUGCUGGCAC
rnacentral:rRNA from 1 species